rnacentral:snRNA from 1 species
ACGCUUACCUGGCAGGGAGGUAUUGUGCUCAGGUGGUGUCCCAUGUGUUUUUCAAACUCCAGAUGUGCUGAUUGCUGUGAUUUCUCCAAAUAUAGUAGCUGACUGCAUAAUUUGUGGUAGCUGGGAACUGGGUUCAAACUUUCAA